GCACAAAGGAGACUAUAAAAGGAGCUGCGGUGAACCGGGCUCGUUCUUUUACGACGGAGCCUAAGAUAUUCUUUGUCUUGUCGGUGAGUGAGUUACAGUCGGAUGACCAAGUGAAAUAUAGGGGUGCAACGAGGAUUUGGAGGCUUCUGAGACUUGAACUUAGGGUACUGGUGUAAACUUCCUCGGAGAAGUGCGCAGCAGCUAAUGAUAUUUCGGGAUUGGAGUCUGGGCCCCAGUGAGAUUCGUACUAAGCGGCCUGACUGAAGGCCGCAUGCGUUCUAGUUCCUGAGUCCCCGCGUGGGUAGGUUUUUACAGCAGGGUUUGCAGCCUUUUGUGCUGUUCCGAAGGUACUAGAGUCACCGAAAGAGACAUCCUAUUAUAUGCACGUUCACAAGGACAAUGGCGCCAUUGUUCUUCGCGUCUUCAAAGCAGCUACAAGAAGAAACCAAGAUGGAGGGGAGCCCAAAGCAUCUGAGAGAAUUGAUAAAUGAAAGAAACAUGCUUAAAACAUGACCGUUUUAAAGGUGAAUGCUGACCAGUGAGAUGCCAGCCUGCGUGUGAAGAUCCUACAGCAGAAGUGCAUGUGAGUGGUGCUCUGUUUUGUUUUCUGCUGAGCUUACUGUCGUUGGUCUAGUCUAUGAUGAUCCUAUCCCGAACCUGAAUUCCUGUUGAAAAACCAUAAUUACGGAUCUGGCUUCUGAGAUGGACCAUUGCAAAGGACUAUUGUGUUCUUCUUUAAUGUUGGCAAUGACGUAAUGCCUGUGUUUUUGUUUUUAUAUUUUAGGGCCAGUGACACAAGAACUUGCGAGAGAUGCCAGUCCGCCUGUGAAGAUCCUGCAGCAGGAGUGCAUAGCCAGUGACACAAGACGUGCGAAUGAAAACUAGAUGUGACCAUCCAGAAAAAGCAUAGACAAAAAAAUGCAGUCUUAGUACUGGGAUGUUUGAGAUGGGGUCUAUCUACAUGUCUCUAGCUGUCCCUAUCAGGACAGCAUCUGGUGUGGCCUGCAGAGUUGAUUCCUGUACUUUUUUUUUUUUGUGGGCUGUAUGUAAAUGGAUUGUUUUGACAAUCCAUUCGACAGUGUUCUCUUCUGUGAAGGUCAUAGGUGAGCUGAUUGACAGACACAGCUGUACAGACUGAAUGCAAUCCUGACUAUAAAGCUGCAGUUCAUCAUUAUGAGCUAUUUCCUUAUUCUGGCAGUGAUUGAAAUAAAAUGGGGAGUAUUGAAAUAAAAAACAUUCAAUUGCAAA
rnacentral:lncRNA from 1 species